rnacentral:rRNA from 1 species
GACGAACCGUGCGAACGUUAUUCGGAAUCACUGGGCUUAAAGCGCGUGUAGGCGGGAGGGUACGUCCGUCGCUGAAAUCCCCCGGCUCAACCGGGGAACGGGCGCGGAUACGGCCUUCCUGGAGGGGCGUAGGGGGACCUGGAACUUCCGGUGGAGCGGUGAAAUGCGUUGAGAUCGGAAGGAACGCCCGUGGCGAAAGCGAGGUCCUGGACGCCUACUGACGCUGAGACGCGAAAGCCAGGGGAGCGAACGGGAUUAGAAACCCC